rnacentral:rRNA from 1 species
GCAUAUCAAAUAAGCCGGAGGGAAAAAGAAAAAUAAACAAUGAUUUCCCCUAGUAAACGGCGAGUGAAGAAGGAAAAGAGCUCAAAAGUUGGAACCUAUUUUGGCUUAGCUAAAUCGGAUUGUAAACUGUAGAAGUGUUUUUCCAGACACGCCUGGUAAAAAAAGUCCUUUGGAACAGGGGCAUCAUAGAGGGUGAGAAUCCCGUCAUUGGCCAGAGCUGUUGUCUUUUGUGAUACAUUUUCAAAGAGUCAGGUUGUUUGGGAAUGCAGCCUAAAUUGGGUGGUAAAUCUCACCUAAAGCUAAAUAUUUGCGAGAGACCGAUAGCGAACAAGUACCGUGAGGGAAAGAUGAAAAGAACUUUGAAAAGAGAGUUAAACAGUAUGUGAAAUUGUUAAAAGGGAACCGUUUGGAGCCAGACUGGCUUAAUCGUAAUCAAUCUAGGCUUUGGCCUGGAUGCACUUGCGGUUUAUGCCGGCCAACGACAGUUUUGUUUGGGAGAAAAAAUUACAUUGAAUGUGGCCCCUCGGGGUGUUAUAGCUUUGUAAAAAAUAUCCUGGACUGGACUGAGGAACGCAGUGAAUGCCUUUAGGCAAGAUUGCUGGGUGCUUUCGCUAAUACAUGCUAGAAUUUCUGCUUCGGGUGGUGCUAGUGUUUAAAGGAGGAACUCGCCUGGUAUAUUUUUUAUUCGCUUAGGUUGUUGGCUUAAUGACUCUAAAUGACCCGUCUUGAAACACGGACCAAGGAGUCCACCAUAAGUGCGAGUAUUUGGGUGACAAACCCAUAUGCGCAAGGAAACUGAUUGAUACGAAGGCUUUAAGCUGGCAGUAUCACCCGGCGUUGACGUUUUUAUACUGAACUGACCGAGGUAAAGCACUUAUGAUGGGACCCGAAAGAUGGUGAACUAUGCCUGAAUAGGGUGAAGCCGGAGGAAACUCCGGUGGAGGCUCGUAGCGAUUCUGACGUGCAAAUCGAUCGUCAAAUUUGGGUAUAGGGGGCGAAAGACUAAUCGAAACCAUCUAGUAGCUGGGUUCUGGCGAG